rnacentral:rRNA from 1 species
UAGCCGUAAACGAUACUCGCUAGGUGUCGGCCACGGUGCGACCGUUGUCGGUGCCGUAGGGAAGCCGUGAAGCGAGCCACCUGGGAAGUGCGGCCGCAAGGCUGAAACUUAAAGGAAUUGGCGGGGGAGCACCACAACGGGUGGAGCUUGCGGUUUAAUUGGAUUCAACGCCGGAAAUCUUACCGGGACCGACAGCAACAUGAAGGCCAGGCUGAAGACUUUGCCGGAUUAGCUGAGAGGAGGUGCAUGGCGUAGUCGUGU